GUUUGUUUGUUUGUCUGUUUUGUUUUGUUUUCUUUUUUCAUUCUUUUUUUCUUUUCUUUCCAGUUUAACAGUAUGGAAAUGUUACGGAAGAAUCAUAUGUAAAAACAGUUUGUCAGUCUCUGCCGAGCACUAUUGAAUAAAAGGCAAAUCUGUUAGGUUGUUAAGAGUAGUUGAGCACGAACAAUGGGAACGAUAUGGGGCCAUUAGUUAGGGGUGGGGCUUGGGGUGAAGAAUUGGUAUGGAAUAUCGUACUGGAAUCAAUUGUAAUUGCCACUCCUUGUACCAUAAAUAUGCUUGUAUUCCCUCUAGAAAGAGGGAUGUUUACCUGCUUUCAGUGUGCAGGCUAGAAAGGAGUUAUCCCCCCUGCACCCAGUCGGCUGAAUAAAACAUACCUGCUGUACAACUGCUUUGUGGUUAUAGAGUUUGUUUCGCAAGUCAGUUUCUGUGAGCCAGCCAGGAGAACUCUGAUGGACCGCAGGGCUGGUCGGACCAGGGGACGCUUCUAGCACGCCCCGAAAACAAUUUUUUUUUCGAAGAAGACUCCCCAGGCCGACACAUCCAUUGCGGGGCAGGGAAAGAGCUCCAGCGCAGAGCAUUGCCCUGUGCAUUACAGGACACCUUUUUCUGCCUGGUUUUGCCAAAGAAAGUGUAAAAAAAAGAAAAUUCAGUUAACCUGGACAGUGUUACCCAGGGUUGUGAGAACAGCCCAGUGAUUUGUGAGAAGUGGUCAGCUCGUGAGCCUGAGACUUGGGUUCCUCCAUCCCAAGGUGGAACUUUACCCAUGGAUGCCACAGUAACAAAAGAGGACUGCACAAUGGACUGGGAGAUUGCUGAAUUUCUUGGUUUCAGUGGUUAUCAAGUUUCUCAACUGAAAGCUCAACUGAUCAAAGAGGAGGAAGGAAGCAAUUUGCUGAACGCCCAAGACAGCGACACAGAGCUACCUCCAAUCCAGCAGUGUGCGACUGCACAGAGACUGUCUGUGCCAGUGGGCCAGACCUACAGGAAGAACCAUUGGAUGGUGUGGAGGGUUCCUGCAUUCAUCGACAGAAGCAGUUUUGUGAGACAAGGAAACUGUAAGGCAGGAUAUGGAGUAACUGCUACUUACCAGGUAAUUGAAGCAAAACUAUUACCUGUGGAGAAAUACUUGAGAAAUACUUGGAUUGCUAGGGAUUAAGUGUUAAGAAAUGUCACAGAAAGGCUUUUGAAUGUUACUCUAUACAACUUUCCAAUUUUCUUCUCCAGCAUCCAGCUACUGUUUGAGCUAAGCCUAGAACUAGUCUUCCUGAAGCCUCUGUAGUUUGUGUCAAAAGAAAAACAUAA
ensembl:lncRNA